UACGAAGGGGGCUAGGGUUGUUCGGAGUAACCGGGCGGAAAGCGCAUGUCGGCGGAUCUUUAAGUCAGAGGUGAAAUCCCAGGGCUCAACCCCGGCAUUGCCUUUGAUACUGGAGAUCUGGAGUCUGGGAGAGGUGAGUGGAAUUCCGAGUGUAGAGGUGAAAUUCGUAGAUAUAAGGAGGAACACCAGUGGCGAAGGCGGCUCACUGGCCCGAGACUGACGCUGAGAUGCGCAAGCGUGGCGAGCAAACAGG
rnacentral:rRNA from 1 species